GCUAGGCAUAUGGUGUGCAUCUGUGGUCUCAAGUAUUUGGGAGGCUGAGGCAUGAGAAUCACUUGAGACUAGGAGUUUGAGACCUGCCUGGGCAACAUAGUGAGAUCCUGUCUCAA
rnacentral:sRNA from 1 species